rnacentral:rRNA from 1 species
UACAGAGGUCUCAAGCGUUGUUCGGAUUCAUUGGGCGUAAAGGGUGCGUAGGCGGCGCGGUAAGUCGGGUGUGAAAUCUCGGAGCUUAACUCCGAAACUGCAUUCGAUACUGCCGUGCUUGAGGACUGGAGAGGAGACUGGAAUUUACGGUGUAGCGGUGAAAUGCGUAGAUAUCGUAAGGAAGACCAGUGGCGAAGGCGGGUCUCUGGAACGGUACUGACGCUGAGGCGCGAAAGCGUGGGGAGCAAACAGG